rnacentral:lncRNA from 1 species
UGUGAAUCCUUGGAUCCAUUUCGACCAUAAAUUCAAAUUAUUUGAACAAAACAUAGCCGAAGUAGAGGUGUAGGUGUUGUAGGGAUCCAUUUUUUUCCAGAAAAGUUGAUAUAAAGAGACAUAAAGUUGACAGGAGAGAGGGAGGAAGCGGAUGGGGACGGUGUCGGAGACCGCCGGAUGUUCUUGUUUUCCGGCGGUCCAUAGCCGUUUUCUUUGGCAGGAUCUGGGAAAGGGGUGAAACGUCUG